GUAGGUGGCAAGCGUUGUCCGGAAUUAUUGGGCGUAAAGCGCGCGCAGGUGGUUCUUUAAGUCUGAUGUGAAAGCCCCCGGCUCAACCGGGGAGGGUCAUUGGAAACUGGGGAACUUGAGUGCAGGAGAGGAAAGUGGAAUUCCACGUGUAGCGGUGAAAUGCGUAGAUAUGUGGAGGAACACCUGUGGCGAAGGCGACUUUCUGGCCUGUAACUGACACUGAGGCGCGAAAGCGUGGGGAGCAAACAGGGAUUAGAUACCCUGGUAGUCCACGCCGUAAACGAUGAGUGCUAAGUGUUGGGGGGGUUUCCCGCCCCUCAGUGCUGCAGCUAACGCAUUAAGCACUCCGCCUGGGGAGUACAGUCGCAAGACUG
rnacentral:rRNA from 1 species